AUGCAGAGCAAACAGGGAGCUAAUGGAAGCACUCAGGAUGAUAGAAUUCUAACUUCAUGAAAACAUGUUUGAUUGUGGGUCCCAGUAAAGAUGUCCCAGUUCUCGGCCAGAAUCUUUUCUGAAGACUGAGCUGGAGGAGGUACCCGUUCUGGAAUGGUCUCAAAUGCAACCUGCAGGUUUGGCCCCCUGGAGGAAGUGAGAAGAAUGGAGAUGAACACGUUUCUUGUGUCAUGUCCUCAUUCUGCCCAAGACACACCUACCCGGACCAUGCCGUCUUGACUCCCGGUGAUGAUGAUCUGGCUUGUGUCCCAUGCUGGGCCCUCCAUCAGGCAGCAGCAGGUUAUGGCUCCUUCUGGGCCCCAGGCUGUGGUGAUGCUGGCCAGGGGCUGUCCAUUGACAUUCCACAGGGACAAGUGUGCUCCCGCACAGGAGACAAUGGUGCCCUGUGCAGUGAGAGCUGGCAUCACUCUAAGCUGGAGUCACUGCCUGCCCAUCAGCCACUUGCUCAGCUACCCAGUUGGUACACCCAAGUACUCUCAAUCUGUCAUGCUCUGAAGACCCCCAAGGUACCCCAAAACUUCUUUCCAGCUGACUUACAGGUCUGCUGUGUUUUCACACAGUUGUAAAUUCUUGGUUCUUUUCAUACUGCAGUCAUGUGCUUAGAUACUUCUUUCCUGGCAGAAGGCA
rnacentral:lncRNA from 1 species